rnacentral:rRNA from 1 species
AUGAAGAUCUUGAACAAGACCGCCAACAACGCUCUAGCUCAUGUCCAACGGUCAAAGAAAGCCUCACACAAUCUAGAUUUGAAGGCCAAGGCAAUUCCGGAAGAAGAAGAAGAAGAAGAAGAAGAAGAGGAAGAAGAAGAGAGUUGCCCCGAAGACACCAAAUAUGCUUACCACGAGCACAUGGCUCUUGCAUCAAGGCAAUUUUGGGGCAACAAGAGAAACUCAAGGCUCAACUUCUCCAAGAACAACUCAAGUGGCUCCGAGGGCAAGCAAUGCGUGAGAACAUGCUACAAUUGUGGCAAUGUGAGUCACUUUGUGAUGGAUUUCCCCUACGAGAAGAGGGAAGACAAUGGUGGCAAGCUUAGUCACAAAGACAAGGCCAAGUCCUUCCCCAACAAGAACAACUUCACCAAGAAGGUGACACGAAAGGGGUUGGUUGCACAUGAAGAGUACAUCUUCGAUGAUGAUGAUGAUGAUGCAAGUGGCGAAGGAAUGGCGACGACCUCCAUGGCCAUUGCCACCUCUUCCCCAACCAAGGUGUCACUCUUUCACCCUCCCAACAAGAACCUCAUCCCCAUGUGCCUCAUGGCUAAAGGCAUCAACAAGAAGGCACUUUGA